rnacentral:rRNA from 1 species
UCGAUUCCCUUAGUAGCGGCGAGCGAAACGGGAAGAGCCCAAACCAACAAGCUUGCUUGUUGGGGUUGUAGGACACUCUAUACGGAGUUACAAAGGACGACAUUAGACGAAUCAUCUGGAAAGAUGAAUCAAAGAAGGUAAUAAUCCUGUAGUCGAAAAUGUUGUCUCUCUUGAGUGGAUCCUGAGUACGACGGAGCACGUGAAAUUCCGUCGGAAUCUGGGAGGACCAUCUCCUAAGGCUAAAUACUCUCUAGUGACCGAUAGUGAACCAGUACCGUGAGGGAAAGGUGAAAAGCACCCCGGAAGGGGAGUGAAAUAGAACCUGAAACCGUGUGCUUACAAGUAGUCAGAGCCCGUUAAUGGGUGAUGGCGUGCCUUUUGUAGAAUGAACCGGCGAGUUACGAUUUGAUGCAAGGUUAAGCAGUAAAUGUGGAGCCGUAGCGAAAGCGAGUCUGAAUAGGGCGUUUAGUAUUUGGUCGUAGACCCGAAACCAGGUGAUCUACCCUUGGUCAGGUUGAAGUUCAGGUAACACUGAAUGGAGGACCGAACCGACUUACGUUGAAAAGUGAGCGGAUGAACUGAGGGUAGCGGAGAAAUUCCAAUCGAACCUGGAGAUAGCUGGUUCUCUCCGAAAUAGCUUUAGGGCUAGCCUCAAGUGAUGAUUAUUGGAGGUAGAGCACUGUUUGGACGAGGGGCCCCUCUCGGGUUACCGAAUUCAGACAAACUCCGAAUGCCAAUUAAUUUAACUUGGGAGUCAGAACAUGGGUGAUAAGGUCCGUGUUCGAAAGGGAAACAGCCCAGACCACCAGCUAAGGUCCCAAAAUAUAUGUUAAGUGGAAAAGGAUGUGGCGUUGCCCAGACAACUAGGAUGUUGGCUUAGAAGCAGCCAUCAUUUAAAGAGUGCGUAAUAGCUCACUAGUCGAGUGACACUGCGCCGAAAAUGUACCGGGGCUAAACAUAUUACCGAAGCUGUGGAUUGUCCUUUGGACAAUGGUAGGAGAGCGUUCUAAGGGCGUUGAAGCAUGAUCGUAAGGACAUGUGGAGCGCUUAGAAGUGAGAAUGCCGGUGUGAGUAGCGAAAGACGGGUGAGAAUCCCGUCCACCGAUUGACUAAGGUUUCCAGAGGAAGGCUCGUCCGCUCUGGGUUAGUCGGGUCCUAAGCUGAGGCCGACAGGCGUAGGCGAUGGAUAACAGGUUGAUAUUCCUGUACCACCUAUAAUCGUUUUAAUCGAUGGGGGGACGCAGUAG